AACGAACGCUGGCGGAGUGCUUAAGACAUGCAAGUCGAGCGAGAAAGUCACCUUCGGGUGGCGAGUACAGCGGCGCACGGGUGAGUAACGCGUGGGUAAUCUGCCUACAGGUCUGGGACAACCCCGGGAAACUGGAGCUAAUACCGGAUAAGACUUCGAAGCCUUCGGGUUUUGCGGAAAAAGAUGGCCUCUUCUUGAAAGCUAUCGCCUGUUGAUGAGCCCGCGUCUGAUUAGCUUGUUGGUGGGGUAACGGCCUACCAAGGCGACGAUCAGUAGCUGGUCUGAGAGGAUGAUCAGCCACACUGGAACUGAGACACGGUCCAG
rnacentral:rRNA from 1 species